rnacentral:rRNA from 1 species
UACGUAGGGUGCGAGCGUUGUCUGGAAUUAUUGGGCGUAAAGAGCUCGUAGGCGGUCUGUCGCGUCGAUCGUGAAAACUUGGGGCUUAACCCUGAGCUUGCGGUCGAUACGGGCAUGACUGGAGUUCGGCAGGGGAGACUGGAAUUCCUGGUGUAGCGGUGAAAUGCGCAGAUAUCAGGAGGAACACCGGUGGCGAAGGCGGGUCUCUGGGCCGAUACUGACGCUGAGGAGCGAAAGCAUGGGUAGCGAACAGG